UGAAACUCUCUGCAAACUAAUAAGUCUUACCGGAAAUAAGCAAUUCGUCCGACUUUAAUAUUAUUGUGUAAUAUUAUUUUAAAACUAACAAAAAACAUUUUAUAUUUUAAAUUUGCAAGCGACCCAGUGCCUUACCUUCCCGUACUUUGAAAACCACUGUAUUAAAGGACCAGAGGGAGAACCUGUAUUGUGAAACUCCCUUUCAGACUAGACUUAAGGUUUCACGGCAGUUCUUUGGGGAACCAGACUUCCCAAGUUCCGUUAUAAGAUGUCCAGCAGGUGUCACUGUCAUCCGGAUAGUGCAGAAAACCAGUUUCCUGGGUUCCCCCUGCUGGAGGAAAUUAAAGUUUGCAGACCACUGUUUCUCAGUCCUUGGUGGUAUUCUUUCAAACAAGACUGGUGUGCUCACAAACAAUAAACUGUUUCACCACUUUG